rnacentral:piRNA from 1 species
UGGGAGAAGACCUCGUAAGAUGUAUUUGGU